rnacentral:rRNA from 1 species
CACCAGUUAAGGUCCCUAAAUAUAUGCUAAGUGGAAAAGGAUGUGGAGUUGCAUAGACAACUAGGAUGUUGGCUCAGAAGCAGCCAUCAUUUAAAGAGUGCGUAAUAGCUCACUAGUCGAGUGAUUCUGCGCCGAAAAUGUACCGGGGCUAAGCAUAUUACCGAAACUGUGGAUGUGUCCUUUUGGACACGUGAUAGGAGAGCGUUCUAAGGGCGACGAAGUUAGACCGUGAGGACUAGUGGAGCGCUUAGAAGUGAGAAUGCCGGUAUGAGUAGCGAAAGACAGGUGAGAAUCCUGUCCACCGAAUGACUAAGGUUUCCUGGGGAAGGCUCGUCCUCCCAGGGUAAGUCGGGACCUAAGGCGAGGCCGAGAGGCGUAGUCGAUGGAUAACAGGUUGAGAUUCCUGUACCAGUUAAAUGCGUUUGAAUGAUGGAGGGACGCAGGAGGCUAAGCAAACCAGACGAUUGGAAGUGUCUGGCCAAGCAGUAAGUCAGGUUUAGAGUCAAAUGCUUUAAGCCGGGUUGACAAGCUGUGAUGGGGAGCGAAAUUAAAGUAGCGAAGUUGCCGAUGUCACACUGCCGAGAAAAGCUUCUAGUGAGUAUUUAACUGCCCGUACCGCAAACCGACACAGGUAGUCGAGGAGAGAAUCCUAAGGUGAGCGAGUGAACUCUCGUUAAGGAACUCGGCAAAAUGACCCCGUAACUUCGGGAGAAGGGGUGCUGGUCGCAAGACCAGCCGCAGUGAAAAGGCCCAGGCGACUGUUUAUCAAAAACACAGGUUUCUGCAAAAUCGUAAGAUGAAGUAUAGGGGCUGACGCCUGCCCGGUGCUGGAAGGUUAAAAGGAAGAGUUAGCUUCGGCGAAGCCCUGAAUUGAAGCCCCAGUAAACGGCGGCCGUAACUAUAACGGUCCUAAGGUAGCGAAAUUCCUUGUCGGGUAAGUUCCGACCCGCACGAAAGGCGUAACGAUCUGGGCACUGUCUCAACGAGAGACUCGGUGAAAUUGAAUUGCCUGUGAAGAUGCAGGCUACCCGCGACAGGACGGAAAGACCCCAUGGAGCUUUACUGUAGCUUGAUAUUGAGUGUUUGUACUACUUGUACAGGAUAGGUAGGAGCCGUAGAAACCGGGACGCUAGUUUCGGUGGAGGCAUUGGUGGGAUACUACCCUUGUAUUAUGACCACUCUAACCCGCACCACUGAUCGUGGUGGGAGACAGUGUCAGGUGGGCAGUUUGACUGGGGCGGUCGCCUCCCAAAAGGUAACGGAGGCGCCCAAAGGUUCGCUCAGAAUGGUUGGAAAUCAUUCGCAGAGUGUAAAGGCACAAGCGAGCUUGACUGCGAGACAGACAGGUCGAGCAGGGACGAAAGUCGGGCUUAGUGAUCCGGUGGUUCCGCAUGGAAGGGCCAUCGCUCAACGGAUAAAAGCUACCCUGGGGAUAACAGGCUUAUCUCCCCCAAGAGUCCACAUCGACGGGGAGGUUUGGCACCUCGAUGUCGGCUCAUCGCAUCCUGGGGCUGUAGUCGGUCCCAAGGGUUGGGCUGUUCGCCCAUUAAAGCGGUACGCGAGCUGGGUUCAGAACGUCGUGAGACAGUUCGGUCCCUAUCCGUCGCGGGCGUAGGAAAUUUGAGAGGACCUGUCCUUAGUACGAGAGGACCGGGAUGGACAUACCGCUGGUGUACCAGUUGUUCCGCCAGGAGCAUCGCUGGGUAGCUAUGUAUGGAUGAGAUAAACGCUGAAAGCAUCUAAGUGUGAAACUCGCCUCAAGAUGAGAUUUCCCAUUCCUUUGGAAGUAAGACCCCACAGAGAUGAUGUGGUAGAUAGGAUGGAAGUGGAAGUGCGGUGACGCAUGGAGCGGACCAUUACUAAUCGGUCGAGGACUUAACCAA